CCUACGGGGGGCAGCAGUGAGGAAUAUUGGGCAAUGGGCGCAAGCCUGACCCAGCAACGCCGCGUGAAGGAAGAAGGCUUUCGGGUUGUAAACUUCUUUUCUCAGGGACGAAGCAAGUGACGGUACCUGAGGAAUAAGCCACUGCUAACUACGUGCCAGCAGCCGCGGUAAUACGUAGGGGGCAAGCGUUAUCCGGAUUUACUGGGUGUAAAGGGCGUGUAGGCGGGGACGCAAGUCAGAUGUGAAAGCCACGGGCUCAACCUGUGGCCUGCAUUUGAAACUGUGUUUCUUGAGUGCUGGAGAGGCAGGCGGAAUUCCUAGUGUAGCGGUGAAAUGCGUAGAUAUUAGGAGGAACACCAGUGGCGAAGGCGGUCUGCUGGACAGCAACUGACGCUGAGGCGCGAAAGCGUGGGGAGCAAACAGGAAUAGAUACCCCAGUAGUC
rnacentral:rRNA from 1 species